rnacentral:lncRNA from 1 species
ACGAGAGCUUGGAUUCGUCCAGCCUUCUGGAGUGACAGAUGGCAUGAGAGAGUCCUUCACCGUAUAUGAAAGCCAGGGGGCAGUGCCAAACACGUGGCACCAGGAGAUGGAAGAUGUCAUCAGGCUGGCCCAGAAGGAGGAGGAGAUGAAGAUUUUUAUGAAGUGAGCCUGGACAACAAUGUGGAGCCUGCACCAGGAGCGGCCAGGGAGGGUUCUCCCCAUGACAACCCCACUGCACAGCAGAUCGUGCAGCUGUCUCCUGUAAUGCAGGACACCUAGGAGCACCCAGGCUUGCCCAGCAAACCCUGCGUGCCAUUCUUUUACCAGGCAGCCGAGAACAGGGAGAUAAACAUCAUCAUCUUCUAAGAGCUGGUCAAGAAAUUUAAAACAAC